AUUGAACGCUAGCGGCAUGCCUAACACAUGCAAGUCGAACGGCAGCGUGGGGAGCUUGCUCCCUGACGGCGAGUGGCGGACGGGUGAGUAACGCGUAGGAAUCUGCCUUGUAGUGGGGGACAACCCGGGGAAACUCGGGCUAAUACCGCAUAAUCUCUACGGAGCAAAGUGGGGGAUCUUUGGACCUCACGCUAUAAGAUGAGCCUGCGUCGGAUUAGCUUGUUGGUGGGGUAACGGCCUACCAAGGCGACGAUCCGUAGCUGGUCUGAGAGGACGAUCAGCCACACUGGGACUGAGACACGGCCCAGACUCCUACGGGAGGCAGCAGUGGGGAAUAUUGGACAAUGGGGGCAACCCUGAUCCAGCAAUGCCGCGUGUGUGAAGAAGGCCUUCGGGUUGUAAAGCACUUUCAGUGGGAAAGACUUAAGGUUAAUACCCUUGAGAGUUGACGUUACCUACAGAAGAAGCACUGGCUAAC
rnacentral:rRNA from 1 species